GCCUGAUGGGUGAGAUCCCUAUGACCUCUAAAGGUCUCUGCUGCUGGUAGUUGAGAUCUCCAUGACCUCUAAAGGUCUCUGCUGCUGGUAGGUGAGAUCUCCAUGACUUCUAAAGGUCUCUGCUGCUGGUAGGUGAGAUCUCCAUGACCUCUAAAGGUCUCUGCUGCUGGUAGUUGAGAUCCCUAUGACCUCUAAAGGUCUCUGCUGCUGGUAGUUGAGAUCUCCAUGACCUCUAAAGGUCUCUGCUGCUGGUAGUUGAGAUCUCCAUGACCUCUAAAGGUCUCUGCUGCUGGUAGUUGAGAUCCCUAUGACCUCUAAAGGUCUCUGCUGCUGGUAGUUGAGAUCCCUAUGACCUCUAAAGCUCUCUGCUGCUGGUAGUUGAGAUCCCUAUGUCCUCUAAUGCUCUCUGCUGCUGGUAGGUGAGAUCCCUAUGACCACUCACAGUCUCUGCUGGUGGUAGUUGAGAUCCCUAUGUCCUCCAAAGCUCUCUGCUGCUGGUAGUUGAGAUCCCCAUGACCUCUAAAGGUCUCUGCUGGUGGUAGGUGAGAUCUCCAUGACCUCUAAAGGUCUCUGCUGCUGGUAGUUGAGAUCCCUAUGACCUCUAAAGGUCUCUGCUGCUGGUAGUUGAGAUCCCUAUGACCUCUAAAGCUCUCUGCUGCUGGUAGUUGAGAUCCCUAUGUCCUCUAAUGCUCUCUGCUGCUGGUAGGUGAGAUCCCUAUGUCCUCUAAAGCUCUCUGCUGCUGGUAGUUGAGAUCCCUAUGUCCCCUAAAGGUCUCCGCUGUGGUAGGUGAGAUCCCUAUGACCACUCACAGUCUCUGCUGCUGGUAGUUGA